CACGCCGUAAACGAUGGGCACUAGGUGUAGGGGGUGUCGACUCCCCCUGUGCCGAAGCUAACGCAUUAAGUGCCCCGCCUGGGGAGUACGGCCGCAAGGCUAAAACUCAAAGGAAUUGACGGGGGCCCGCACAAGCAGCGGAGCAUGUGGUUUAAUUCGAAGCAACGCGAAGAACCUUACCUGGGCUUGACAUAUGGUGGAAAACCGUGGAAACACGGUCCCUCUUCGGAGCCGCUAUACAGGUGG
rnacentral:rRNA from 1 species